rnacentral:rRNA from 1 species
CAGUCGCCGCGGGUAUACAGAGGGUGCGAGCGUUAAUCGGAUUUACUGGGCGUAAAGCGUGCGUAGGCGGCUUCUUAAGUCGGAUGUGAAAUCCCUGAGCUUAACUUAGGAAUUGCAUUCGAUACUGGGAAGCUAGAGUAUGGGAGAGGAUGGUAGAAUUCCAGGUGUAGCGGUGAAAUGCGUAGAGAUCUGGAGGAAUACCGAUGGCGAAGGCAGCCAUCUGGCCUAAUACUGACGCUGAGGUACGAAAGCAUGGGGAGCAAACAGGAUUAGAUACCCCCGUAGUCCCUGUCUCUUAUAC